UACGAAGGGGGCUAGCGUUGCUCGGAAUUACUGGGCGUAAAGGGCGCGUAGGCGGCACUGUUAGUCAGGCGUGAAAUUCCUGGGCUCAACCUGGGGACUGCGCUUGAUACGGCAGAGCUUGAGGAUGGAAGAGGGUCGCGGAAUUCCCAGUGUAGAGGUGAAAUUCGUAGAUAUCGGGAGGAACACCAGUGGCGAAGGCGGUUGCCUGGAGCUUUGCUGACGCUGAUGCGCGAAAGCGUGGGGAGCGAUCCGG
rnacentral:rRNA from 1 species